rnacentral:rRNA from 1 species
AACGAACGCUGGCGGCAGGCCUAACACAUGCAAGUCGAGCGCCCCAGCAAUGGGGAGCGGCAGACGGGUGAGUAACGCGUGGGUAUCUACCUAGUGGUGCGGAAUAGCCCAGGGAAACUUGGAGUAAUACCGCAUAAGCCCGAAAGGGGAAAGAUUUAUCGCCAUUAGAUGAGCCCCGCGUUGGAUUAGCUAGUUGGUGGGGUAAACGGCCCACCAAGGCGACGAUCCAUAGCUGGUCUGAGAGGAUGAUCAGCCGCACUGGGACUGAGACACGGCCCAGACUCCUACGGGAGGCAGCAGUGGGGAAUAUUGGACAAUGGGCGCAAGCCUGAUCCAGCCAUGCCGCGUGAGUGACGAAGGUCUUCGGAUUGUAAAG